CUUCGUGUAUGAUCGUCUGUAUAUUUCAUGUAAUAGAACCCCUGAAUUUGCAGAAAGUAAAGAAAAUGUCGGAUUUAGUUUUGCGCCCCGUGUAUGAUUGUAGGCGCAGGUAAUUUCAUAAUGUCAUCAGACUGAGGUAAACAAAAAUGUCGGAUUCCACGACAAGGAUUAAAUAAUUAUUCUAAUGACGGUAAGAAUUGUUUUUUUUUUUUUCAAUGUAUCAUUCAAAUUAAUCAUAUUUUACAGAAUUUUCAUCUAAUUGAAAAAUGCUUUUCUUCCGUUAUUUUAUUAGAUUAUUUAUUAAAACACAAUUUUAAUGAUAAAACAAUAUUUUAACAGUGGCGGAUCCAGGGCCGCAGAUAGUGUACGUCCCCUUAUCAUGUUUUUUUCACAGAUAUUUGUAGCCGAUAUGUAUUCCUUUUUGU
rnacentral:lncRNA from 1 species